AGAGUUUGAUCCUGGCUCAGGAUGAACGCUAGCGGCAGGCUUAACACAUGCAAGUCGAGGGGCAGCGGGGCUGAGUGCUUGCACUCGGCCGCCGGCGACCGGCGCACGGGUGAGUAACACGUAUGCAACCUGCCCCGGAGCGGGGGAUAACCCGGCGAAAGCCGGACUAAUACCGCGUACAUAUCUGAAAGGCAUCUUUCAGAUAGGAAAGGACCUCGGUCCGCUCCGGGAUGGGCAUGCGGCGCAUUAGGCAGACGGCGGGGUAACGGCCCACCGUACCGACGAUGCGUAGGGGUUCUGAGAGGAAGGCCCCCCACACUGGUACUGAGACACGGACCAGACUCCUACGGGAGGCAGCAGUGAGGAAUAUUGGUCAAUGGGCGGGAGCCUGAACCAGCCAAGCCGCGUGAGGGAAGAAGGCGCUCAGCGUCGUAAACCUCUUUAGCCGGGGAACAAAGAGCUGCUCGGGAAGCAGCGUUGAGCGUACCCGGAGAAUAAGCAUCGGCUAACUCCGUGCCAGCAGCCGCGGUAAUACGGAGGAUGCGAGCGUUAUCCGGAUUUAUUGGGUUUAAAGGGUGCGCAGGCGGACGCGCAAGUCUGCGGUCAAAUUCCGGGGCUCAACCCCGGUUCGCCGUGGAAACUGUGCGACUAGAGUGGGCGAGAGGCAUGCGGAAUGCGCGGUGUAGCGGUGAAAUGCUUAGAGAUCGCGCAGAACUCCGAUUGCGAAGGCAGCAUGCCGGCGCCUUACUGACGCUCAUGCACGAAAGCGUGGGGAUCGAACAGGAUUAGAUACCCUGGUAGUCCACGCAGUAAACGAUGAAUGCUGGCUGUUCGGCCCGAGUGAGGGCUGAGUGGCGUAGCGAAAGCGUUAAGCAUUCCACCUGGGGAGUACGCCGGCAACGGUGAAACUCAAAGGAAUUGACGGGGGC
rnacentral:rRNA from 1 species